UUAAAUUAAAUUAAAUUAAAUAAAAUAAAAUAAAAAAAAUUAAAUUAAAUUAAAAUAAAUUAAAUUAAAUUAAGUUAAAUUAAAUUAAAUAAAGUAAAAUCAAACAUAAUAAAAUAAACUAAAUAAUAUAAAAUAAUACAAAAAUGGAGAAAUUUUUUUUCAUAAGAAUUACAGCACAUGCCAAUAAUAGAUAAUCAUCAUCUGACGAUGACAUGAUGACCGUACGUUACGAGCUCAAAACUAAACUGAUGUUUGACGUGUUAAUUUGAACGUUUGCGGGCAACACACGAUUGAACAUCACUAACACAUAUGCACUGUUUGACGCAAUUAUGUGAUCGUCUCCAGGGCACUUUAGAGACAAUCGGUGUGUACGUAUAGGAUCACUUAACCGUCCGGUCAAUGACCAAACUUUCACCAUUCGUUCAAUGACCGGGUACCCAGGUGGAGCAGAUGUAGAAGUCUUCUAGUUGAAAUUACGAAAGCUGUGUGCCUAAGUCAAUGGAUAUUUAGGUACCUCUCCCCUUUCCAUUUCGGACGGAAAGAAAUAUCGGAAGCUGAGUGCCAAGGUCAAUGGAUAUUUAUAUUUCGGACGAAAAGAAAGAAACAUUCAGUUGGAAUUCUACAAGCCUAGUGAACAGAGUUACAGAUAAAGAUACAAAGAUAUGUGAAAAAAAUAUACAAAAUAAAUAUUAGUAAACAAAUUAUAUUUAAUCUAAAUACAAAGGCUGAUUCAACGAGUUUUCGACGUAUAAUAAUAUACUAUAUAAUACUAUUAGUUAUUUUUUACCAUAGAGUCACUCGUUCGCAAGAAAAUAAAAAAAAUUCGAGAAAACGUUCGAAGCAGAUGAUGACCACGUUUUGGAUAGUAGUGGCGAUGAAUUUUUUCCACCAAACGAGGCGGUAGCUUAAAUACGCAACGACACAAUAUGAUGAAAUUGCACCCAAUAAUGAAGAUGAACAUGAAGAAAGUGAAGAUGGAGAGGAUGAAGAAAGUGAUAUAGAAGCGACGUUGCCUGGACUGAAAGCAAAAGAUGGUACUCAGUGGGCAACGACACCACCAAGUGGACAUCAAGCUGAGAGACGUAAUAUUGUGCGAGAAAGACACAUUUAAAUUAUUUUUCACAUCGGAAAUGGCUGGCGUAUACAGCAUUUUAUGCAUUUUUGACAAUUUUAAUAACUUCUGCUCCAAUACGAGACAUUUGCGAGAGCUGUGUACUCCAUUCGUUGAAAAUCGUGCGAAUAAUGCACAAAUUAUGAGGCAUUUCUCAACGAGAGUGGCGAUUGAAUAUUUUCUUGAUCAAGCUGUCAAUCUAAAUGCGCAGCCAACAUCAUCUGUAUCAUUGAGACCUCAGAAGCAGCGCGAUUCGACUGGAAGGAAUAAGAUUACUGCUAUGAAUGUCUUCAAAGUGAAUUCAAAAAACGUCACAAAACUAGAAAAAUAUGUUCAGUAUGUGAGAAACCUAUUUGUAUUACAACCACGACAUGUGAAGGAUGUACAGAAUAAUUUAAUAUAAUUUAAUUCUUAUAUAGCACUGUAUCAUAAUAAAUACAGCAAUAUAAAUAAACAAAUAGCAAAAUAAUAGAAAAUAAUAUUACUAUAAUAAAUAAAACCGGAGUUAUUUUGUUCUUACUAACUAUUUUUUUAUCAGCGGGUAUCCGGGUACCUCGUUAUUGAAUGGAGGGGGUAUCAAGUUUGAUAGUUAAUAACAUUUAUUAAAUAAUUGAUUCUAAAAAAUUUUGACGAAAAAUGGGUGU